GGGGCCCGCACAAGCGGUGGAGCAUUGUGGUUUAAUUCGAAGCAACGCGAAGAACCUUACCAGGUCUUGACAUCCCGAUGCUAUUUCUAGAGAUAGAAAGUUACUUCGGUACAUCGGUGACAGGUGGUGCAUGGUUGUCGUCAGCUCGUGUCGUGAGAUGUUGGGUUAAGUCCCGCAACGAGCGCAACCCCUAUUGUUAGUUGCCAUCAUUCAGUUGGGCACUCUAGCGAGACUGCCGGUAAUAAACCGGAGGAAGGUGGGGAUGACGUCAAAUCAUCAUGCCCCUUAUGACCUGGGCUACACACGUGCUACAAUGGUUGGUACAACGAGUUGCGAGUCGGUGACGGCGAGCUAAUCUCUUAAAGCCAAUCUCAGUUCGGAUUGUAGGCUGCAACUCGCCUACAUGAAGUCGGAAUCGCUAGUAAUCGCGGAUCAGCACGCCGCGGUGAAUACGUUCCCGGGCCUU
rnacentral:rRNA from 1 species